UGAUUCUACAGGGACUCUGAAUGACUCUGGGAAAGCUCAGUUGAAACUACUAAAAUGGCAUUUGCAGCUGCAUUAAUCAUCCUCCAGCUUUAGAGAAGACGAAACUGAUAAAAGGAUGUUCUUUGAAGAUAAUUCUGUAGUAUACACCUAGAUGUCAAUGUUUGCUUCAUAAAGUGAAAGGGACAGAAAGCAUAUGGGAGAUUCUGGUGCCUGAAACAGGAUAAAAAUGACCCAACCAGACACAGAACAACAUUUUGAGUUGAUUGUAAAUCAACCAGCAUAUAAGUGGACUCUUCAGCAACAUUCAGCAGUUCUUCUUCAGCAGUGACUUACGUUCCAACUACAGCUUCAUGGAUUAUUUCUGAAGGCUACUGAGAAAGGAACACAGGCUAAAACUGGUAUAAUGCUCUGAUGCCCUGAGGCGUGUUUGUGUUUUCUCUCCUGGCGUUGGUCAAUUGAAGCAAUAUCAAAGUCUGCAGAUGCCAUGGAUGUUUGAAUGACUCCAUCUCAUUCUCCAAGGUGGUGGAAAUGUGAAAAUUCUGACCCCUGAGCGUCUGCGAUUGCUGGGGCCCUGAAGUUGCACUGAGAACGAGGGCCCUGGUACGAAGGCUGCUUUUCCCCACUCCUGCAGAGGGGUGCGAUUGCUGUCAGAAGAUUGGAUUUAUGUUGCGACACCUCCCCUUCCCUUUUAAUUUUUUGGCAUGAGAUCAGCAUGAAAAUCACGAUGUCCUUGUUAAGCCUGGCUGAGCCAAAGAAUAAUGACCUUUUUCGUGUUCUGUCAUUUGUUGGGUGGGUUUGUCCCUGUCCUCUUGCUUUGUUUUCUCAGGGAUCGGAGAAUUCAGAAACCCAUCAAACUGUAAGAUCCUGGCUGGGUUAAAACCAGGCCAGGGUGGCCUAAGCAAUGCUCGCACUUUUCAGAGAUCAUUAUUUCGUGACAAAGAUUGAAAGGAGCAUAGAAAAUAGCACAACGGGAUUCAAUGCACGUGACAAAAGGAAAUGGUACAAAGUUUAAUCCAUUCCCAUUACAGUCUCAAGAUGGUAAUCUCUUUGGAUGCUGAGCCUAAGAAUCUUUUUUUUUUCCCCCUACACGAUGCAUCAUCAAGUUGCUUUCGAAGCAGGUCCGUAGGCUGGAGGGAGGUGGCACAAGUUAUAUAACAUGCAAUUUAAGAUAAUGGCCUUUGAAAGGGAGAAAUUAAUAUAAACAGACGAGGCCAACAAAGCUUCAGUCAUCUAGAAGGUAGUUUCAGUCACCACUGACAUUAAACAAUAUCACCCCCACUGCGUCCACGCUAUGUUUAUUAUCAUUUAAUUUCUUGCCCAAAUCCGUGCUUUCUUAUCGUGAUGUCGCAGGGAUUGUAAGCUCUGUUAUGACUACAAUCAGUAGAAAAAAAUGCAAUCAUCUAGGCGGGUAACAAGAUAAAGAAAUUGAGCUCUCUGUCUUAACCUUUUAAAUAUUCUACCAAAAACAUUAGCAAAAAAAUGGAAGCUAUAGCGUUUCCAUAAUUAUCCCAGCACUGUCUUUGUUCUGGUAAUGAUAGAAUCCAUACUUUCAAUUUGCAGUGCUUAAUAAUAGCAGCUGUCUUGUCUGCUCAACUGUGGGGUGUUAGGGCUCCCAUAAUUAUUCAUUUUCACUCACUUGACAGUGGGUGUUUCCUUGAAAUAUUUCAGGCCACAUCAGAAGAAAGAAUUUUAAAAUCCUUUUAAGGGUUCCGUUAUACAUAACAAUAUUGAAUUAUGCAUUAAUAAAACAAAUUUAAUUGACUUGGAGGUGCACGAGCCCUAAUUAACAAUAUACCUCAAUACUGAGAACGGAUGGCUAUAGAUCAUCAGGCACACACAAAAGCAGACAUAAUGAUUGUUAUCAUUAAUGUAUGAGGGUUUGUUGUCUUUCAGUCCUUAAAACCACACACUUUGCUUUUUCUUUCCCUCUUCCAUGAUUUUC